rnacentral:rRNA from 1 species
GUGGGGAAUUUUGGACAAUAGGCGCAAGCCUGAUCCAGCCAUUCCGCGUGCAGGAUGAAGGCCUUCGGGUUGUAAACUGCUUUUGUACGGAACGAAAAGCCUCUGGUUAAUACCCGGGGGUCAUGACGGUACCGUAAGAAUAAGCACCGGCUAACUACGUGCCAGCAGCCGCGGUAAUACGUAGGGUGCGAGCGUUAAUCGGAAUUACUGGGCGUAAAGCGUGCGCAGGCGGUGAUGUAAGACAGUUGUGAAAUCCCCGGGCUCAACCUGGGAACUGCAUCUGUGACUGCAUUGCUGGAGUGCGGCAGAGGGGGAUGGAAUUCCGCGUGUAGCAGUGAAAUGCGUAGAUAUGCGGAGGAACACCGAUGGCGAAGGCAAUCCCCUGGGCCUGCACUGACGCUCAUGCACGAAAGCGUGGGGAGCAAACAGGAUUAGAUACCCGUGUAGUCC